rnacentral:rRNA from 1 species
UACGUAGGGUGCAAGCGUUGUCCGGAAUUAUUGGGCGUAAAGAGCUCGUAGGUGGCCUGUCGCGUCGGCUGUGAAAACUCGGGGCUCAACUCCGAGCUUGCAGUCGAUACGGGCAGGCUAGAGUUCGGCAGGGGAGACUGGAAUUCCUGGUGUAGCGGUGAAAUGCGCAGAUAUCAGGAGGAACACCGGUGGCGAAGGCGGGUCUCUGGGCCGAGAUUGACGCUGAGGCGCGAAAGCCAGGGGAGCAAACGGG